AUACAGACAGACCCGGUAGGUAGGCAGGCAGAUACGGACAGACCCGGUAGGUAGGCAGGCAGAUACGGACAGACCCGGUAGGUAGGCAGGCAGAUACAGACAGACCCGGUAGGUUGGUAGGUAGGCAGGCAGAUACAGACAGACCCGGUAGGUUGGUAGGUAGGCAGGCAGAUACAGACAGACCCGGUAGGUUGGUAGGUUGGCAGGCAGAUACAGACAGACCCGGUAGGUUGGUAGGUAGGCAGGCAGAUACAGACAGACCCGGUAGGUUGGUAGGUAGGCAGGCAGAUACAGACAGACCCGGUAGGUUGGUAGGUAGGCAGGCAGAUACAGACAGACCCGGUAGGUUGGUAGGUAGGCAGGCAGAUACAGACAGACCCGGUAGGUUGGUAGGUAGGCAGGCAGAUACAGACAGACCCGGUAGGUUGGUAGGUUGGCAGGCAGAUACAGACAGACCCGGUAGGUUGGUAGGUAGGCAGGCAGAUACAGAC